CAUGUAGUACACUAUAUAGGUAUUAAUAGCAUGUAGUACACUAUAUAGGUAUUAAUAGCAUGUAGUACACUAUAUAGGUAUUAAUAGCAUGUAGUACACUAUAUAGGUAUUAAUAGCAUGUAGUACACUAUAUAGGUAUUAAUAGCAUGCAGUACACUAUAUAGGUAUUAAUAGCAUGUAGUACAGUAUAUAGGUAUUAAUAGCAGUACACUAUAUAGGUAUUAAUAGCAUGUAGUACACUAUAUAGGUAUUAAUAGCAUGUAGUACACUAUAUAGGUAUUAAUAGCAUGUAGUACACUAUAUAGGUAUUAAUAGUAGUACACUAUAUAGGUAUUAAUAGCAUGCAGUACACUAUAUAGGUAUUAAUAGCAUGCAGUACACUAUAUAGGUAUUAAUAGCAUGUAGUACACUAUAUAGGUAUUAAUAGCAUGUAGUACACUAUAUAGGUAUUAAUAGCAUGUAGUACACUAUAUAGGUAUUAAUAGCAUGUAGUACACUAUAUAGGUAUUAAUAGCAUGCAGUACAAUAUAUAGGUAUUAAUAGCAUGUAGUACACUAUAUAGGUAUUAAUAGCAUGUAGUACACUAUAUAGGUAUUAAUAGCAUGUAGUACACUAUAUAGGUAUUAAUAGCAUGUAGUACACUAUAUAGGUAUUAAUAGCAUGCAGUACACUAUAUAGGUAUUA